UUUUUUUAUUUUUUUUAUGUCUUUUUGCCAUUUCUUGGGCCGCUCCUACGGCAUAUGGAGGUUCCCAGGCUAGGGGUCCAAUCGGAGCGGUAGCCACCGGCCUACACCAGAGCCACAGCAAUUCGAGAUCUAAGCCGCCUCUGCGAGCUACACCAGAGCUCACGGCAACGCCAGAUCCUUAACCCACUGAGCAAGGCCAGGGAUUGAACCUGCAACCUCACGGUUCCUAGUCGGAUUCAUUAACCACUGAGCCAUGACGGGAACUCCUAGAGGUCAUUUAGAACUACACUUUGGCUGUCACUUCAGGUAAAAUUCAUUUAAAGUUAUUAAGUAAAGGCAUAGCCUGUGAGAAAAGGCACGUGUUUAACAUCAGGGAGAAGAUACAAGAGAGAUCUUGUAUCUCCUCUCCUUCCUUGGGAGUGUUUCAGGGAAAACAAAAAAAAAGACUCACUUAAAAGUUUGGUAUAGAAGAAUAAGCACUGGCCUACAAUAUUGGAGUUCUUAGUUCAAGUACCUAUAAUACCAUUCACUAAUCCUGAGACCACAGACAAGUCAGUUAACCUCCUAACCUCCAUUACUCUGUUUUCUUUUAAUAAAAGAGAGAUUAAAUUAUUUGCCCUAAAAACAUCAAGAGGAUGUGGAAAGGAUCAAAGUGUAAUAACAAGAGUAGCUUAUGUUUAUUGAAUACCCACAAGGGGUAGGACAGAGUGCUGAGUGCAUUCCACAAAUAAUCUUUAUUAGUGACAUUGAAGAAGGUUGGCAACAGUGAGAUGGGAACAAAGGGAUGGUGACUGACAGAAGAGGAUGACAGAAAAGUAAAGGCUCUGGGGAAAAGUAGGUAAAAUCUAUUUCUAAAUCAAUACCGAGAGCUGAACUUUUGGGCCCUCCAAUGGUUGUAGGAUUCUACCACAGGGAUGAGCUCUGUUGCCAUAUCAUGUAUUAUCCACCGCUCCACACUGAGAAAAGGUGACCUCUAGAGAAGGCAUCAAUAAUGUCAAAAAUAUGCCUGUUACAUUUGAUAAAAAGUAAGCCUUCUGCAUCUUAGUUUGAUAAUUUUCCUCUGCUACUCAAUGUUUCGCUUAGCUUAACAUGUUUAUAUCUUUAAUAUGUGCAUAAAAACAAACAUACACACGUUACAUAAAAUAUAUAAAUCUGUGUGUGUGUGUGUGUGUUUCUGUUUAUGUGGGUUAGUAUUUCAUUUACGACAAACGAGAACCCACCCGCUGAAAUGUUAAACACUGAAGACAAGAGAAGGCCCUCUAAAAAGGGUGUAUCUCCUGAAACUGAGGUAGAGCGAAAGGAGAAAAGGGGUCAAAAAUCCACUUUUCUUGCAUCCCUAUGUAUUCCAUAGAGGUGGCUCCUUCCUGUGGUACAGUGUUUUUAUAUAGGUGACUUGUGUUCAUCCUGCUUUUUUUGACAAACCGGUACUGAAGAUCAUUUAACUUAAUAGACACAGGCGGGCACACGCACGUGUGUACACACACACACACACACACACACACACACAUGUGAUCAUAACAGUUGCAACACGGCGUCCUUAUGGCUAAAGAAAAUGAUUAUCCACUUAUCCUCAGAAGUGAUAAUGGGAAUGAACCAGCAUUGCGAAUGUCCCUAGUGUCUGUGACUGUUCUCAUUACGUUAGAGGACAUCCCAGCUGGGUACAGAGGCAAAUAGCACACAAGGAAAAGGUCAAGUUUUCCAAACCUCUCAAACCCCAUAUUCCUGUUCCAAACAUGCGUAUGGAAGGAGAUGGAUUAAAACUCAAACUAGUUCAAACUAAGUUCUCCCAGUUCAUGUAGGCACCAUAUGCCCAAACCAAACAUCCAAUGUUAAUUUCUUGCUUCUGUUAGAUGGAGUCUGCGCAGGAAUUAUUUUCCCACGGUGUUUUCACAGCCUGUUUCCCUUGUCUCCAAUCCAAAUGUGAAGAGAUAGAAACUAAUAGAUAGUGGAAAAAAUGGAUUUGGUUUGAAUGACAGACAAUUUUACUGUCUUUUUAAAGAUGACAACAAAUAUUGCUUCCAAAUAUGAAUAAAAGAGUUUUUUUCCACAUCAUUUCCUGUGCUGCUAUUGCCAAUUAUAAAUAUAAGCAUAUGGCAUUUAUAUAAGCCAUGCUUCCAAGAAAGCCUCUGAGUAUGCAAUCCUGACAGUAUUUAAUUUUAAGGUGAACUUAAAUGCCAAGUAUGACUUGAAAUCAUAGUAAUAUUGAUUUUUUAAAAUUUUGAUUCUGGAGGCUUAUCUUAUUGACAUGCAUUACCGGAAAUUCAUUGAAAUGUAGUCAUCAAUUAAGAACUUUUUAAAAACAAUGGGAAGUUUGUUACAUCCUGAAAUAGAGUUAGAAUGUAUACAGCUAACAAAGAGCUUAAAUGACCCAUUGGUAGCACCAGAGAUUUUCUAGACAUUCAUUUGAUAUGUGUGAAGUUACAGAACAGGCAUAACAUUAUAACCUUAUUUUUUUAUAUUCAACAUGACAAGAGAAUACAAUUUUAUGUAUAAAUUUAAUUGAUACGAGUGAAAUCUAUAAGACCCAUGCCUGGAAUAUGGAUGCAUUACUUAUUAGGACUUCCUUUCCUUACAAUAGAAAAUAUAAAUUAUGUCAAAUAACAGGAUACAUGCACACAGAUAGGCCUAGAGACCCAGGUCCCUGUUGAUUUACUGACAAAGGAAACUCCUAAAAUCUUCUGUGACAAGACGGUCCUCCUCCCAGAAAGGGAAAAUGAAAAUAAGUCUUUUAUUUUGGAAAAGCAUUUGAUGACCCCAUGUGUGAAGAUCAAUAGUCACACAUUCACCACUCAAACUCGAUCCACGAGUAGAGGUUAUUAGACAAAUAUCUUAAAAUUCUUUAAGGUUCUCAUUUUAAUUAUGCCAUGUCUCAGUCAAAGGUACAAUUCAGGCAGCAUUGGCCAAGCCACUGGCCCUGAAAGUAAGAAAGAAACAUACAGCUGUAGAGUUAGAAAGAACUUUGAGAAGAAAGGUGCUCUAUCUGCAGAGCCGCCAUUAAGUCACCCCUCACAAUCCUUUGCCCUCUCCUACGGAAAUUCGCCCCCGGAUGGCUGGUCUCGUCUCUUCCGCUCUGGGGCCAGCUCAAUGACUUUGUUCAUUCUCACCAAAUUUUGCAUACUAUUUUCCAGAAAAAAAAAAAAA
rnacentral:lncRNA from 1 species